AACGAACGCUGGCGGCGCGCCUAACACAUGCAAGUCGAACGAGAAGCCGUAGCAAUACGGUUGUAAAGUGGCAAACGGGUGAGCAAUACAUGGGUAACCUACCCUCAGGUGGGGAAUAACUUCCCGAAAGGGAUGCUAAUGCCGACGAUACCCACCGGCCUCAUAAGAGGCUGUUGGAAAGCCGAACCGAGGGUUCGGCGCCUAAGGAUGGGCUCAUGUCCUAUCAGCUUGUUGGCGGGGUAAUGGCCCACCAAGGCUGCGACGGGUAGC
rnacentral:rRNA from 1 species